CCGGCGACCGGCGCACGGGUGAGUAACACGUAUGGAACCUGCCCGCAGCAGGGGGAUAAGCGGAAGAAAUUCCGUCUAAUACCGCGUAACAACGUUGGGAGGCAUCUCCCGAUGUUUAAAGAUUUAUCGGCUGCGGAUGGCCAUGCGGCGCAUUAGCUAGUCGGCGGGGUAACGGCCCACCGAGGCGACGAUGCGUAAGGGUUCUGAGAGGAAGGUCCCCCACACUGGUACUGAGACACGGACCAGACUCCUACGGAAGGCAGCAG
rnacentral:rRNA from 1 species